rnacentral:rRNA from 1 species
UACGUAGGGUGCUAGCGUUGCCCGGAAUCACUGGGCGUAAAGCGCACGUAGGCGGAUUGCUAAGUCAGGGGUGAAAUCCUGGAGCUCAACUCCAGAACUGCCUUUGAUACUGGCGAUCUCGAGUCCGGGAGAGGUGAGUGGAACUGCGAGUGUAGAGGUGAAAUUCGUAGAUAUUCGCAAGAACACCAGUGGCGAAGGCGGCUCACUGGCCCGGUACUGACGCUGAGGUGCGAAAGCGUGGGGAGCAAACAGG